rnacentral:tRNA from 1 species
AGUCUUAUAUUCAAUUAUGAUAUUAAAUUGCAAAUUUAAUGGUGAAUAUAUUUUUAUUCUAAGGCUU